rnacentral:lncRNA from 1 species
AUACCGGAGCGGGGCUGCCUAGCUUGGUAACUAAUUUACUCUAACCUAAUAUACUAACAAUUAUAAUGCUCAAUAUCUCACAUUAAAAAGGUGUUCAGUUGUGUAAAAACAACUGUUCAGAUUUGCAUAAAAGGUAUAGAAAAAAAAGAUCAAACAGGAGCUUAGAACCAGGUUAUUUAGGCUGUCAGACUUAGGAUUAUAGUAUUAUAUAUCACCCUCGUCAGAAUUUGCAUACAACACUUUUUUUCAACCUGGAAAUUGCACGAGAAAACACGGUUACAAAUUGCUUUAGAUGAGAAGCACAAAAAACAUUAUUAUCAAUUUGAAGAAGAAACUUCAAACAACGGUUAAGAUACACAGUUUUACCAGUUUUUAAGUUGUGAUGUUGUGAUCUCUGGGCCCUACAAAGCACGGCCAUAUUUUCCAUAAAUGAGAAUGCAUUCAACAAUUAAGACCUAAGAAUUGAAUGCCCCAAAGUGAAAAAAAAUUACCUGCAGACUUAACUUCUCUGACCAACUCUGCAAUAGAACAGGGUUUUUGUGCAUCUCAGGCUCAUCUACUAGAGCCUUCUCUAAUUCAUCUAUUUGCUCAUUAUUCAUAAGGGUACGCUUCCUUCUCUUAGGUUGCCUCUCAUCAUACAUACUACUCUCUCCUUUCCCAUCCUCCUCGAGACCGUUUUCUUUUGUAAGUUCUGGUGUUUUGAAAUUAUCCACGCUGCUGGAUGCUGGAUCAAGAUCCAUUCUGUUGUGCUGGUGUCUGGUGCUAACACCGGAAGCGACAUCCGAAGGGCAACCACUUGCUGUUCUUGCAACGCCAAGAUGGACUAGGUCUUGCCCAACUGCAUUCUGCAGGAAACCACCAUUUCUAGAGACAGUGUUCUUUGGAGUCUCGUCCUCAUCAUUUCCUUCCGGAUUUAUUGGGGGUACUGGUGUAGACACUUCCAUGUUCUGUGCAUCCUGUUGCAUCAGCUUCCGAUUAGAAUCCAAUUCACCGUGGACCCAAACCCAAUCACCAGUCAAGUUUCAUUGACCCACUCAUCUAAGUAUUUACCUUUGGAAGGUUAUUCAUUUUGGAGGCUGGAGUGCUUGUCCGUGUUGGCAAGUGCUGCUGCACCGGGCGCAUGGCAUCCAUGCUUUCUGGUGGAAUAUCAUUUUGUACAACCUUAAACAUUUCAUAAUGAGGUCAUACUACAAUUGAAAAAAUAAGAGAAAGUUUGAAAGAAAACAUGAAAAUUCUGCCAUAGAAUGGAUAGUAAAUUGACCUUUGAAGUUCACUGACAAGGGAGCCAAGGCCAGGAAAGGAUGAUGGGAUAGUGUUGAGCUCAAUUUGAAGUAGUGAAUUGGUUUCGGAAUCCAGCAUAUAGUCAGACCGGUGCAAUCCUAAGUGUAUAUCCUAAAAGUGUAUCAAGCACAUAUCAGUGGCUGGCUAAAAAACAAGAGAAAGUUUGAAAGAAGCAUUUCCUAAAGGUCAAAACUGAGACAUAGAGGCCGAUAAAAACAGUUUACUCACCUCUUUCUUAUUUAUAGACAUCAUCUUAUCAUGAAUUUCUAGCAGCCUUGAAGUAAAUUCAUCAACCUGCUUUGUUCUGAAAUUAGAAAAUGAUAAUCCGCUGUUAACCUGAAACCAUUAUAUAGCUAAAAAUGUGAAAAAUAGCUCUGCCUUCUAUGACCUGACUAACAGAGAGUUAUAUUCUCCUCAAAAUUCAAGGCGACAAUCUUGUGAUGAAAAAAAUCAGCUAACAAUCUCGUCUACUCACUGUAUGCUCCGAACAAAGAUAUAUACCACAUUGGUACCAAAAGAAUCCAGUGGAUAGAAUUCAGAACUUGCCUAGACAAAGCAGCUUGGAAGAACUCCCCAUCCAAGCUGACACGAUCCACGAGCUCAUUGAAGAUAGGAGCCAGCUCGCAUGCUUGAUUGAAGAACGAUGCCGGAAAACGCGCUGGAAGCAGCGAGAAUGGAGCGUGAACCAGGCCAACCGCAGGGACCGUUCCGAUCUCUGCAAGUGACAAUAUAAAUGCAGAUCAGAUAAUUCAGGGUAAUUAUAGCUUACAGUUACAGGAAAUUGGGGCAUGCUGUUUGCUUCUUCUUCUUCUUUUCUGGUUAUAUCAAAACCCGCCAGAGUGCAGAGUGGCAACAGUCAAGACAUGUUGAAAAUUGUUCCUUUUUUAACAGUGAACUACAUUACUGCAACUGUUAAGACAAGUUGAACNNNNNNNNNNNNNNNNNNNNNNNNNNNNNNNNNNNNNNNNNNNNNNNNNNNNNNNNNNNNNNNNNNNNNNNNNNNNNNNNNNNNNNNNNNNNNNNNNNNNGGCUGCGUCAGCCAGCCCGGGCCCGGCACGACACUAAACCAUGCCGGGCUUGGACUGACGCCCCUCGUGCCAGGCCCAGCCGUGCCGGGCCGGCCGUUGGACAUGUAUAGCUGUAGUACUUUGUUCUCUGGCUUAUUCUGCAGGUAUGGUGGUCUUGGAAGGCUCCCUUGUCUCUGAACCUUACUUCUACUGCUAUCCAGUAUCUCCUACAGUAGUUGAGCCAGCACAGUGGCUCUAUCCAUGGUACUGGGCAACUGAAGCUGAACCACAUUCUGAAUCUCCGAUUUCAUGCCAUAAAUGAACUUGGCGACAAAAAAACAUUUCGUCCAACUUUGGAUUAUGCACCUCGGCCACAUAACGAGCCUGUUCAAAUUCUGCUACGUACACUUCCAAAGUGUAUGACUAUAUUAACUUCAUAAUUGUUCUCAAAGCCUUUGGGUAAGAUUCAGUACCAAAUUUCGCUAGCACAGCAGCAGAAAACUCCUGACAGGAUCCCAACCCAUUUCGAAUCUUAUACGAUUGCCACCAUCUAGACGCAUUCGAAUCCAAGUGCAUGGUAGCAGCUGAGACCUAGAUCGCCUCGGGGACAUUGCAAAUGUUGAAAUAAUUCUUACAAUUAUCCAACCACACCACUGGAUCAUCGCCCCAAACUUUGGAAAAGACAUCUUAGGUAUUACCUGACGAACUAGUCCUCCUUGAUGAAAUCGAUUGAACUCCGGUCUCUCCUGCUAGUUAUCCUGGCGUUGUUGGCGAUCUAGCGUUGUUCCUGCUAUUUCUUUCAGUUCCUACGACUGAUACGAUAUAAAUAGAUUGAUUCACCAGAAUGAUAAAUUGUUUAUAUGCACAGUGAAAAUAAGUUACAUUACAUUUUUUUUGAAGCUAGGCACUGUGACGCCCUAAGCCGGAGGCGCGAUGCUACCUCGAUGUGGGCUAUCGGUGAGAGUCGAGACGUGGACGACACGAAGGUGGAGUUCUUUUUUUUUGCAUAUUAUGUCCGCUACAGCACAGCAAAAUAUAAGCCCAUAGUCAACACAUGGCCUAUCAACAAUUACGAACAAACGCGUACUUCAAACAUAAUUUCUCUUCCCGCCAACAAUUACAAACCACUCUGUCACGCCUCACCUGGAGCUACUGCAGGUGCUUCAGUACACAUGUAGACUAAAAGAAAAAUAGUUCUGAAACGCCAAUCCUCUUUACAUCAGCCUUGGACAAACUGGAUGCAGAUUUCUUUAUUGUGUCAAGUGCCUGGACAAACAUGGCAAAGUUUAUUAUGCCAAUAACAGUCUAGAGCAUUGGAGUAGUUAGAAACAUAAAUCACGCAGUACUCAAAAGUCCCAGUUUAGUGGAAGAUUUUGAACAUAAUAAGUUUAGCUUUCAGUCCUUAAUACUAGGCUGAGUGAGAUGGUAAAAUACAUAAGCGCACCAGUGAACAGAGAAUAACUUGUAAAAUUUGCUGCAAGUGCACCCUGCCCCCACAUUCAUAAAUUCUAGAAAAAAACAGAGAAAUCUUAAGUACUCCCUCCGUUUCUUUUUAGUUGUCGCUGAAUAGUUCAAUUUUGCACUAUCCAGCGACAACUAAAACGAAACGAGGGAGUAACAACAAGUUGGUAUGCCAUUGAAACAGCCACAGGAAUUUACCACCACCAAGCAACAUACGCAUGUAAAAUCCCAAAUCAUAGGAGUAAGAAUACUGAAGGCUCUUCUCGGAGUAAAUAAACUAGAAGAUAAAUCAAAUUAAAUUAAAUCAACCACAAGAUAAAAUCCAAAUACUAAACAGGCUGGGCUCAGUUGGACAAAGUCUACCAGUCUAAUGACAACAAAGUCUACCAGUUUGAAUUUGAAAUGUGAUUGGGAUUUGAAACCUAAAACUGAAAAAUGGAAAAGAAGAAAGGGCCGUUUCCCUUGAGUCCGCCAUGGACUUCCUGUCCAAAGUCCGAAGAACUCGAUCGACAGACUAUAUAUGCGGGCCGAGGCACAGCCCCCUCGUCCAUCAAAUCUAGAAGUAACCCGCCAAGAACCGAGCGCCGUCGCGUGUAUCUCAGCCGUCUGCGCCGCCUGUUUCUCAGCCGUUCGCCACAAAAUGCUGGGUCUCCAAAUCAGGACCGUCAUGGCGGAGAACAUGAACUCGGAGCUAAACAUGAUAGGCUCCUUGCUCCCGUUGUUCCCCUGCAUCACCUUCGACGUCGAGUACGCGGGCACACUGCACCGCUCGUCCGCUGCGACGCGAAUCGCCCCGAGCAAGCAGUACGCCCUCGUGAAGAAAAACGUUGAUGCGGUGCCCAUCGUGAUGCUCGGCAUCACGCUCUCCAACGAGUACGGGAACCUCCCGCUCACAGCGGACGGAGAAGGACGUCUGUUCCAGCUCGCGUGGGAGGUGACGUUCUCGGACUUCGACCCCCGGCGCGACCGCCACGCCCCGGAGUCCGUCACGUUCCUGCGCUCACAGGGCGUCUGCUUGGACAAGGCCCGAGCGCGCGGCGUGAGCUCCGCGGCGUUCGCGGCCAAGCUGGCCGCCAUACUGUCGGCGACGCCGCGGCCCAACGAGCUCACCUGGGCGGCGUUUGGUGGAGCAUACGACUUCGCAUAUAUGCUGAAGAUUCUCACGGGCGGCCAGCCGCUGCCGGAGACAUGGCACGAGUUCAUGGCCCAGACCCAUGCUCUUCUCGGCGGCGGCCGGGUGUUCGACGCCAAAUACAUGGCGGAGCACUGCGAGCGAACGGACUUAGGUGGUCUAGGUCUGAGGCGCAUGGCCGCCACCUUGGCAUGCGGUGGGACUUCCCGGAGUUGCCCUUCCUUGCCGGGCGGAAGAGCCACAUCGCUUGCUUCAUCUGCACCAUUAUGAGGAGACGCAUCCUGUAUCGCGACGGUGGUGAUAUACUUGUAGGUCUACUCGAUGGUAUACACUGGUAGCAUCUUUGAACGGUGAUUACAGCAUAGUCAACUCUAGAUUAUAAUAAACUCUUUUAGCUAUCCAAAUGGGUUAGAUAGGUGUUAGUAUAGGGUAUAUUUUAUAGAUUAAAAUGAUUGUUGGGCUGCGCCCCAAACAAUCAUAGUUAGUAGAUAGGUUUAAUUUGCUUCUAUAAUCAUGGUUGAUUUAUUCAUUACGCUUGUAACCGUCUAUGUAUAUCUAUCCAUCUAUUUACAUAUUUAGUAAAAAAAGUUAAGCGAAUUAAAAAUUAGGACGGAACUGUGCUCUCCCAAAAAAAUUCAAUCAUGAAAAUAAAUGCUUCAGCAUCUAUAGAAUGUAAUGACAUAGCUGCGUCCCCUUUUCAUCCGUGGAGAUAAAUACCGGAGCGGGGCUGCCUAGCUUGGUAACUAAUUUACUCUAACCUAAUAUACUAACAAUUAUAAUGCUCAAUAUCUCACAUUAAAAAGGUGUUCAGUUGUGUAAAAACAACUGUUCAGAUUUGCAUAAAAGGUAUAGAAAAAAAAAGAUCAAACAGGAGCUUAGAACCAGGUUAUUUAGGCUGUCAGACUUAGGAUUAUAGUAUUAUAUAUCACCCUCGUCAGAAUUUG